GGGGAAUAUUGCACAAUGGGGGGAACCCUGAUGCAGCAACGCCGCGUGAGUGAAGAAGUAUUUCGGUAUGUAAAGCUCUAUCAGCAGGGCAAGAAAAUGACGGUACCUGGACUAAGAAGCUCCGGCUAAAUAC
rnacentral:rRNA from 1 species